AGUGAACGCUGGCGGUAGGCCUAACACAUGCAAGUCGAACGGCAGCACAGUAAGAGCUUGCUCUUACGGGUGGCGAGUGGCGGACGGGUGAGGAAUACAUCGGAAUCUACUUUUUCGUGGGGGAUAACGUAGGGAAACUUACGCUAAUACCGCAUACGACCUACGGGUGAAAGCAGGGGAUCUUCGGACCUUGCGCGAUUGAAUGAGCCGAUGUCGGAUUAGCUAGGUGGCGGGGUAAAGGCCCACCAAGGCGGCGAUCCGUAGCUGGUCUGAGAGGAUGAUCAGCCACACUGGAACUGAGACACGUUCCAGACUCCUACGGGAGGCAGCAGUGGGGAAUAUUGGACAAUGGGCGCAAGCCUGAUCCAGCCAUACCGCGUGGGUGAAGAAGGCCUUCUGGUUGGAAAGCCCUUUUGUUGGGAAAGAAAAGCAGCAGGUUAAUACCCCGCUGUUCUGACGGUACCCAAAGAAUAAGCACCGGCUAACUUCGUG
rnacentral:rRNA from 1 species